GAGGUUUUCCUGGUGGUUCCACGCGACGUGGAGGAGAGUGGGGCUUGGUUGAGCCCUGAGUGAUGGUCACUGUCACACGUGGGGACACACCAUGGCAACGCUCAGCGGGCCCAAGUGGCUUUAGUUGUGCACCGUAAAGGUGAUUAAAAGUCGUUUACAGCCGUUGUGUCUCCACUACAAGUCCUUGGGCACACGAGAGGCUCCAUGUGUGGGUUGUGAGGGCGAAGCGGUCCCAACCCCCCCCAAACUGAUGCCAAAAUCCCCCAAUCUGCCCCCAAAAUCUUGGUUCCAGGGAGUAAUAAAGAGCCUGGAGGAUAAGCGGAGGAGGACGGUCUGUCUGCGAUGGACUAAAAGGGGUUUAUGGGCGUUCGGGGGGGCUGGAGCCGAGUCCUUCCCCCCCAGAGUGGCCGCAGCCCCGCGGGAGGACGGGGGGAGACCGGGGAAGGGCUCUGCUGGGCAGGCUCCAAAGCGCGCACGCUGAUUGGUUCGUUCGCUGAAGACUCUCAGCCAAUGGCUGCGCGGCGUUUGGAUCCGGCUUUCCCACCCGAAGCGAAGAGGCGGGAAGACGGCAGCGGUGAGGAGCUAUCUCAGCCCUCCCUCGUGGUGGUUAGGAGUCGGCGAUUUCACCGGUGCGCCUCGGGUUCGAGUCCCCGUCGAGGAAAACGUUUUUUUUCCCCAGCUAUUUUUCCACCCCAGUUGUGGAGGAUUUUAAAACCGACAAAAUGAAGACAGGCGCUUUAACCAACUAAGCCACGGCGCCGCGCAUUGAGACGCCCGCCCUCGCCCCUCAUCUCCGCCGGCCAAACGCGUGUCCGCCCCUUCCCCGCUGUUCCAAGCCGCGCCUUCCCUCCUUGACACCGGGGAGGGACCGGGCACACCGAUAGCGGCAUCAGGAAAGGACCGGACGUACCGACAUUGACGCUGGGGAGGGACCAGACACACCGACACCAGCUCUGGGGAGCGGCAGCCGGGGCCAUCAGUUAGUCACUUCCUCGUUAGUAUAGUGGUGAGUAUCCCCGCCUGUCACGCGGGAGACCGGGGUUCGAUUCCCCGACGGGGAG